rnacentral:rRNA from 1 species
AUGUUCUUUUUCAACAGUAGGGCACAAUGUCAGCACAGUCGGUUCAUGUCAAUUAGCCUGAAUACUGAAAGCAGGAGUGAUCAGAGGAUGGACAAGUCUUGCACACAAUGCAAGGAUUAUGUCGCACAUCAAUAUUGGGACCACAUGGAUAAUCGGAAAAAGCGUUUCUUUAAGCUUAUGCUUGGCAAUUUCAGGAAUGGAGUGACCAUACCAGAGAAGUUUGUGCGCAGUGUCAGAGGAAUGAUCUCUGAACUAGUCAAACUAGAAACUCCAGAUGGUAAUACAUAUAAUGUUCAUAUUGCCAAGGAACUGAAUAAUCUAGUCCUUCGAUCUGGAUGGUCAAAAUUUGCCAGUGUUUAUGAGCUUCAAGAGGGUGACUUUUUGAGGUUCAAAUACAAUGGGGACUCCCACUUCAAAGUUGAGAUCUAUGAUCCAAGUGCUUGCGAGAAAGAGACAUCCUGCGUUGUAAUGAACUACAAUCCAGGUCUCCAAAAACGGAGCGUUCCUCAUGAUAAUCAAAUGUUAUCACCGGAGGGUGAAAGGUUAGCAAAGCGUCACAAUGGUUGCUGCAGCGACAGUUGCAAAACUUCAAAGAUGAAUCCAGCAGGCUCUCCACACAAACCAACUAAAAAGGAAGUCCCAUCUUCUGAAGAUGCCAGGAGUUCAGGUGAACUUCAGACUUCCACCAGGUCUCGCUAUUUCUUAGCAACAGGGUGCAACCUGACUGAUGCACAUAAGGUGGAAGUCGACAAAAUUGAGCAAAAUAUCAGGCCUGAGAUUCCACUAUAUGUCAAAACCAUGUCCAGUGCCAGUCUGGUUGAUGGAUUUCUGGUCAUAUGCAAAGAUUACGCUAUCAAACACCUUCCAUGCAAAGACGAAUUCAUCACAUUUUGUCAUGCCAGUCAUAGCAAGACAUGGCGUGCUCAUUACAAGAUCAAUGCUGAUGAUACAUAUCAUCUUUCUACCGGAUGGUUGAGAUUUGUCGAUGACAACCAGUUGCAAAAAGGCGAUACUUGCAUGUUUGAAGUAUUAAAGAGGCAGAGAAGUUUCACAAUGGCAGUUCAUCUGCUUAAAGCAAGCUAUCAUCAUCCACCAGGAUUUCCCGCUUCUUCCAAGAGUCUUAGGCCUGAAGCCAAGAGUUUUAGGCCUGAAGAUAAAGUGAGGCUGUCACGAUUCAUCACAUUGGAGGGUCUGCUGAAGACUAAAGUGCAUGAGAAAGUAGAAGUUAUUAAGCCCGAAAUCCCUGUUUUUGUGUCUAUCAUGAUGAAAACCAAUGUUAGCGGCAGAAGCCUCAGUUUGGCCUUCAGUCUGGAUUAUGCCAAAGAUUUUCUCCCUGGUGAGAACCAAAUUUUCAGGCUUCAUCGGCCCGGGGAAAGCGCUCCAUGGAAAACUGAAUUCAAGAGCUUUGCUUCAAGGCGUUGGCUUGUUAGAGGCUGGGAGCAAUUUGUCAUUGACAACAAACUGGAACUAGACGAUGUCUGCCUCUUCGAGCGGAUUGAAAACAAGAAGAAGCUCAGGAUGAUGGUCCACAUCAUCCGAAAGAAAGAGUACUGUUGA